CUAAAAUACUCUAGUGGCGGGAUGGACUUAGUAAGGUAGUUAACGAUAUCAGCGUACCAUGAGACUAUUUCUACUCCAAAAAUUUGCUCAUCUGGAAAGAUUUCAUUGAUGUCAAUUGACUUCUCAGGUUCAUCCCGUUCCAAUCUUGAUAAGUGGUCGGCUCCCACAUUUUCACUGCCCUUCUUAUCCUUGAUCUCAAUAUCAAACUCUUGCAACAACAAUAUCCAAUGGAUCAAUCUUGGCUUAGCAUCCUUCUUUGUCAUAAGAUACUUCAGAGCGGCAUGAUCUGUGUAGACGAUGACCUUAGACCCAACAAGAUACGAUCUGAACUUGUCGAAUGCAUAAACCACAGCUAGUAAUUCCUUCUCGGUCGUAGCAUAGUUGAUUUGGGCGUCGUUCAAAGUUCUACUUGCAUAGUAUAUCACAUGAAAGAUUUUAUUCUUUCUUUGUCCCAAUACCGCACCAACUGCAUGAUCACUCGCAUCGCACAUUAGCUCAAAGGGCAAAUCCCAAUUAGGUGACACAAUCACAGACGCUGUUGUGAGUUUUUCCUUCAAAGUAUUGAACGCUAUCAAACAUUUCUCAUCAAACUCAAAAGAUACCUCUUUCAUUAGCAAGUUGCACAGAGGCUUGGUGAUUUUGGAGAAGUCCUUUAUAAACCUCCUGUAAAACCUUGCAUGUCCAAGGAAACUUCGAACUCCUUUUACUGAUGUAGUUGGUGGUAAUUUCUCAAUAACCUGAAUUUUCACCUUAUCC
rnacentral:lncRNA from 1 species